rnacentral:rRNA from 1 species
GACGAACGCUGGCGGCGUGCUUAACACAUGCAAGUCGAACGGAAAGGCCCUGCUUUUGUGGGGUGCUCGAGUGGCGAACGGGUGAGUAACACGUGAGUAACCUGCCCUUGACUUUGGGAUAACUUCAGGAAACUGGGGCUAAUACCGGAUAGGAGCUCCUGCUGCAUGGUGGGGGUUGGAAAGUUUCGGCGGUUGGGGAUGGACUCGCGGCUUAUCAGCUUGUUGGUGGGGUAGUGGCUUACCAAGGCUUUGACGGGUCGCCGGCCUGAGAGGGUGACCGGCCACAUUGGGACUGAGAUACGGCCCAGACUCCUACGGGGGGCAGCAGUGGGGAAUAUUGCACAAUGGGCGGGAGCCUGAUGCAGCAACGCCGCGUGCGGGAUGACCGCCUUCGGGUUGUAAACCGCUUUCGCCUGUUACGAAGCGUUAGUGACGGUAAUGGGUAAAGAAGCACCGGCUAACUUCGUG